CCUACGGGAGGCAGCAGUAGGGAAUAUUGCUCAAUGGGGGAAACCCUGAAGCAGCAACGCCGCGUGGAGGAUGAAGGUUUUAGGAUGGUAAACUCCUUUUGUUAGAGAAGAGGAUGACGGUAGCUAACGAAUAAGCACCGGCUAACUCCGUGCCAGCAGCCGCGGUAAUACGGAGGGUGCAAGCGUUACUCGGAAUCACUGGGCGUCAGAGUGCGUCGGCGGGGUCAGAAGUCAGAUGUGAAAUCCUGUAGCUUAACUACAGAACUGCCUUUGAAACUGUUACUCUGGAGUGUGGGAGAGGUAGGUGGAAUUCUUGGUGUAGUGGUCACAUCCGUAGAGAUCACGAGGAAUACUCAUUGCGAAGGCGACCUGCUGGACCAUUACUGACGCUGAUGCACGAACGCGUGGGGAGCAAACAGGAUUAGAUACCCGGGUAGUC
rnacentral:rRNA from 1 species